rnacentral:rRNA from 1 species
AGAACGAACGCUGGCGGCAGGCUUAACACAUGCAAGUCGAACGCCCCGCGAGGGGAGUGGCAGACGGGUGAGUAACGCGUGGGAAUCUACCCAGAACUUCGGAACAACUGAGGGAAACUUCAGCUAAUACCGGAUACGCCCUACGGGGGAAAGAUUUAUCGGUUCUGGAUGAGCCCGCGUUGGAUUAGCUAGUUGGUGGGGUAAUGGCCCACCAAGGCGACGAUCCAUAGCUGGUCUGAGAGGAUGAUCAGCCACACUGGGACUGAGACACGGCCCAGACUCCUACGGGAGGCAGCAGUGGGGAAUAUUGGACAAUGGGCGAAAGCCUGAUCCAGCCAUGCCGCGUGAGUGAUGAAGGCCUUAGGGUUGUAAAGCUCUUUCAGUAGGGAAGAUAAGUGACGGUACCUACAGAAGAAGCCCGGCUAACUUCGUAGCCAGCAGCCGC